GGCACGGUGGUGCAGUGGGUAGUACGGUGGCCUUUCAGUUAGAAGGUUGUGAGUUCGAGGCUCACCAGUGACU